CCUACGGGAGGCUGCAGUAGGGAAUCUUGCACAAUGGGUGAAAGCCUGAUGGAGCAACGCCGCGUGGGUGAAGAAGGUCUUCGGAUCGUAAAACCCUGUUGUUAGAGAAGAAAGUGCGUGAGAGUAACUGUUCACGUUUCGACGGUAUCUAACCAGAAAGCCACGGCUAACGACGUGCCAGCAGCCGCGGUAAUACGUAGGUGGCAAGCGUUAUCCGGAUUUAUUGGGCGUAAAGGGAACGCAGGCGGUCUUUUAAGUCUGAUGUGAAAGCCUUCGGCUUAACCGGAGUAGUGCAUUGGAAACUGGGAGACUGGAGUGCAGCAGAGGAGAGUGGAACUCCAUGUGUAGCGGUGAAAUGCGUAGAUAUUUGGAAGAACACCAGUGGCGAAGGCGGCUCUCUGGUCUGUAACUGACGCUGAGGUUCGAAAGCGUGGGUAGCAAACAGGAUUAGAUACCCUUGUAGUC
rnacentral:rRNA from 1 species